rnacentral:rRNA from 1 species
GACGAACGCUGGCGGCGUGCUUAACACAUGCAAGUCGAACGGUGAAGCGCCUUCCUUUUUGGUGGGUGGGGAUGAGUGGCAAACGGGUGAGUAACACGUGAGUAACCUGCCCCCUUCUUCGGGAUAACCGCAGGAAAGUGUGGCUAAUACGGGAUAUUCGGGGCCUGUGGCAGGAGGGGUUGGGGAAAGAUUUUGUUUCGGGGGGGGAGGGGCUCGCGGCCUAUCGGCUUGUUGGUGGGGUGAUGGCCUACCAAGGCGGUGACGGGUAGCCGGCCUGAGAGGGUGGACGGUCACACUGGGACUGAGACACGGCCCAGACUCCUACGGGAGGCAGCAGUGGGGAAUAUUGCACAAUGGGCGCAAGCCUGAUGCAGCGACGCCGCGUGAGGGAUGGAGGCCUUCGGGUUGUGAACCUCUUUCGCCAGUGAAGCAGGCCUGCCUCGUUUGUGGGUGGGUUGACGGUAGCUGGAUAAGAAGCGCCGGCUAACUACGUG